rnacentral:rRNA from 1 species
AGCAGUCGCCACGGUAAUACGUAGGGUGCAAGCGUUAAUCGGAAUUACUGGGCGUAAAGCGUGCGUAGGCGGCUUUUUAAGUCGGAUGUGAAAUCCCUGAGCUUAACUUAGGAAUUGCAUUCGAUACUGGGAAGCUAGAGUAUGGGAGAGGAUGGUAGAAUUCCAGGUGUAGCGGUGAAAUGCGUAGAGAUCUGGAGGAAUACCGAUGGCGAAGGCAGCCAUCUGGCCUAAUACUGACUCUGAGGUACGAAAGCAUGGGGAGCAAACAGGAUUAGAUACCCCCGUAGUCCCUGUCUCUUAUAA